rnacentral:rRNA from 1 species
UACGUAGGGUGCAAGCGUUAAUCGGCAUUACUGGGCGUAAAGCGUGCGCAGGCGGUCAUGCAAGACAGAUGUGAAAUCCCCGGGCUCAACCUGGGAACUGCAUUUGUGACUGCAUGGCUGGAGUGCGGCAGAGGGGGAUGGAAUUCCGCGUGUAGCAGUGAAAUGCGUAGAUAUGCGGAGGAACACCGAUGGCGAAGGCAAUCCCCUGGGCCUGCACUGACGCUCAUGCACGAAAGCGUGGGGAGCAAACAGG